CUUGCCUACGGGGCGCAGCAGUAGGGAAUCUUCCACAAUGGGCGAAAGCCUGAUGGAGCAACGCCGCUUGGGUGAAGAAGGUCUUCGGAUCGUAAAACCCUGUUGUUAGAGAAGAAAGUGCGUGAGAGUAACUGUUCACGUUUCGACGGUAUCUAACCAGAAAGCCACGGCUAACUACGUGCCAGCAGCCGCGGUAAUACGUAGGUGGCAAGCGUUAUCCGGAUUUAUUGGGCGUAAAGCGAACGCAGGCGGUCUUUUAAGUCUGAUGUGAAAGC
rnacentral:rRNA from 1 species